GACGAACGCUGGCGGCGUGCCUAAUACAUGCAAGUCGAACGCAGUGGGGACGGGUGAGUAACACGUGGGUGACCUCCCGUCAGACGGGAUAACACUUGGAUACUGGUGCUAAACCGAUACUGAUGUAUGUACCCGCGGUGCAUUAGCUAGUUGGAGGGGUAACGGCUCACCAAGGCCACGAUGCAUAGCCGACCUGAGAGGGUGAUCGGCCACACUGGGACUGAGACACGGCCCAGACUCCUACGGGAGGCAGCAGUAGGGAAUAUUCGGCAAUGGACGAAAGUCUGACCGAGCAAUGCCGCGUGAGUGAAGAAGGUUUUCGGAUCGUAAAACUCUGUUGUCAGAGAAGCGGUAUCUAACCAGAAAGCAACGGCUAACUACGUGCCAGCAGCCGCGGUAAUAC
rnacentral:rRNA from 1 species